CUAUUCGCAAAGCUUUGGUUGGCCCGAAGCUAUAGCAGGAGACAUCCAAUAUACUGAAACCAGAGCUAUGUGCUUGGGAAACAAACAUCUAACCUCACAACCACGAUGGUACCAAUAACUAAUUUUGAUACACAAUUGGGGAAGAGGUGGUUCGGAACUGAGAGAUGGACAGAAAAUAUUUUACAUAAUAAAGAAAAAUCGAGGUAGAACGUAUAAGAGAAGAGAAAGCUAUUCCCAAGAGAUCAAUUCAACAGUGAUAACAAAAACUUGAGAGCAACGGUCACACUGGAGCACUACCGCUAGCUCUGCUACACUUUUACUACUUGAAACCUUCUCUGAUAUGUACCAUUUGGUAAAAGAGUGUGUUUGAUUUUCUGCCCUCAUCUGCAUUUCUUGUCGCAAGGUAGAUUCAUCCAGAACUCUUGAGAGGAGGGUAUCCAAUUUUGUUUUGAAAACACCUACAUCAGCCCCAUGUAGGUCUCUCAAGCAUUUUGAGAGGAUAUUGCAGAGCUGGGUCCUUGGCUGUUGGGCUCUUUGGCUCUAUGCAGUAGCGCCCCGUUCUGCUAUUUAUGUAAUGUUCAGUGCCAAAGUUAGAUAGUCUUUUUAUUCUUUGGAUUUUUUCUUUCUUUUGUCCUUGUAAAAAUAUGUUGCUAAAUAAAAAUUUGCCACU